rnacentral:rRNA from 1 species
CGAUGAACCACUUCGGUGGGGAUUAGUGGCGAACGGGUGAGUAACACGUGGGCAAUCUGCCCUGCACUCUGGGACAAGCCCUGGAAACGGGGUCUAAUACCGGAUACUGAUCCUCGCAGGCAUCUGCGAGGUUCGAAAGCUCCGGCGGUGCAGGAUGAGCCCGCGGCCUAUCAGCUAGUUGGUGAGGUAACGGCUCACCAAGGCGACGACGGGUAGCCGGCCUGAGAGGGCGACCGGCCACACUGGGACUGAGACACGGCCCAGACUCCUACGGGAGGCAGCAGUGGGGAAUAUUGCACAAUGGGCGAAAGCCUGAUGCAGCGACGCCGCGUGAGGGAUGACGGCCUUCGGGUUGUAAACCUCUUUCAGCAGGGAAGAAGCGAAAGUGACGGUACCUGCAGAAGAAGCGCCGGCUAACUACGUGCCAGCAGCCGCGGUAAUACGUAGGGCGCAAGCGUUGUCCGGAAUUAUUGGGCGUAAAGAGCUCGUAGGCGGCUUGUCACGUCGGUUGUGAAAGCCCGGGGCUUAACCCCGGGUCUGCAGUCGAUACGGGCAGGCUAGAGUUCGGUAGGGGAGAUCGGAAUUCCUGGUGUAGCGGUGAAAUGCGCAGAUAUCAGGAGGAACACCGGUGGCGAAGGCGGAUCUCUGGGCCGAUACUGACGCUGAGGAGCGAAAGCGUGGGGAGCGAACAGGAUUAGAUACCCUGGUAGUCCACGCCGUAAACGGUGGGCACUAGGUGUGGGCAACAUUCCACGUUGUCCGUGCCGCAGCUAACGCAUUAAGUGCCCCGCCU